rnacentral:rRNA from 1 species
AACGGACGCUGGCGGCAGGCUUAACACAUGCAAGUCGAGCGCAUCCUUCGGGGUGAGCGGCGGACGGGUGAGUAACGCGUGGGAACGUGCCCUCUUCUACGGAAUAGCCUCGGGAAACUGAGAGUAAUGCCGUAUACGCCCGCAAGGGGAAAGAUUUAUCGGAGGAGGAUCGGCCCGCGUUGGAUUAGGUAGUUGGUGGGGUAACGGCCUACCAAGCCGACGAUCCAUAGCUGGUUUGAGAGGAUGAUCAGCCACACUGGGACUGAGACACGGCCCAGACUCCUACGGGAGGCAGCAGUGGGGAAUCUUGGACAAUGGGGGCAACCCUGAUCCAGCCAUGCCGCGUGAUCGAUGAAGGCCUUAGGGUUGUAAAGAUCUUUCAGCUGGGAAGAUAAUGACGGUACCAGCAGAAGAAGCCCCGGCUAACUCCGUG